AUUCCAGCUCCAAUAGCGUAUAUUAAAGUUGUUGCAGUUAAAAAGCUCGUAGUUGGAUUUCUGGUAGGAGCGACCGUGCCGAACUUGAUUGUUCGUGUAUUGUGUUGUCUUCAGCCAUCCUCGUGGAGAACUUUUCUAACAUUAACUUGUUGGGAUUGGGACCCGCGUCGUUUACUGUGAAAAAAUUAGAGUGUUUAAAGCAGGCAUUAGCUUGAAUACAUUAGCAUGGAAUAAUAAGAUAGGACUUUGGUACUAUUUUGUUGGUUUGCAUACCAAACUAAUGAUCAACAGGAACAGUUUGAGGAUAUUCGUAUGAACAUGUCAGAGGUGAAAUUCUUGGACCGUUUGAAGACGAACUAAGGCGAAAGCAUUUGCCAAGAAUGUUUUCAUCA
rnacentral:rRNA from 1 species